rnacentral:lncRNA from 1 species
AUUGGACAAAACCACUGGACACGCCCACGGACACACCCAAUGGACACACCCACCCGGUACACGCCCACCUGGGACGUGUUUAUUGGACAAAGCCAAUGGACACACCCAUGGACACGCCCACCUGGGACGUGUUUAUUGGACAAAACCACUGGACACGCCCAUGGACACGCCCAAUGGACACGCCCACCUAGGACGUGUUUAUUGGACAAAACCACUGGACACGCCCAUGGACACGCCCAAUGGACACACCCAAUGGACACAGCCAUCUGGGAUAGGCUCAAUGGACACACCCAAUGGACACGCCCAAUGGACACUCCCACUGGACACGCCCAAUGGACACACCCAAUGGACACACCCAAUGGACACGCCCAAUGGACACACCCAAUGGACACGCCCAAUGGACACACCCAUCUGGGAUAGGCUCAAUGGACACACCCAAUGGACAGGCCCAAUGGACACUCCCACUGGACACACCCAAUGGACACAGCCAAUAGACAUGCCUAAUGGACACACCCACCUGGGACACGCCCACUCGGAACACACCCAUCUGGGACACACCCACUGGACACACCCAAUGGACAUAGACACAUCCAGUGGACACGCCCACCUGGGACAUGUUUAUUGGACAAACCCACUGGACACGCCCACUGGACACGCCCAAUGGGCACACCCACUUGGGACACGCCAAAUGGACACGCCCACCUGGGACACGCCCAAUGGAGGUGCCCAUUGACACGCCCACCAGGGACGUGCCCACCUGUGACACACCCAAUGGACACACCCACAGGACACGCCCAACAGACACACCCACCUGGGACACGCCCACAUGGGACGUGUUUAUUGGACAAAGCCACUGGACACGCCCAAGGGACACACCCAAUGGACAUAGACACACCCAAUGGACACGCCCACCUGGGACACACCCAAUGGACACGCCCAACAGUCACACCCAAUGGACACACCCAAUGGACAUGGCCUCCUGGGAUGUGUUUAUUGGACAAAGCCACUGGACACGCCCACUGGACACACCCAAUGGACACGCCCACCUGGGACACGCCCACCUGGACACGCCCAAUGGACACGCCCACCUGGGACACGCCCACCUGGGACACGCCCCCUGCACAAGGCCCCUCCCAGCCCAGUGGCAUCAUUAUUGUGGCCAAUGACGUCGCUGACAGGGUGGGCGUGGCCAAUGACAUCAUCGGUGUGUCCAAUGACAUCGCUGACAGGGUGGGCGUGGCCAAUGACAUCAUCGGUGUGGCCAAUGACAUCGCUGACAGGGUGGGCGUGGCCAAUGACAUCAUCAAUGUGUCCAAUGACAUCGCUGACAGGGUGGGCGUGGCCGAUGGCGUCACCGAUGGGGUGGGCGUGUCCAGUGACCUCACCACGGCCGUGUCAACAUGACGAGUGACGUCAUCAGUGUGGCUAAUGAUGUCAUCACCAAUGAGGGGGCGGGGUUAGGGAUCACCCCAGGGCAUUGUGGGUAAUGGGGGGGUCUCUGUGGAUCGCCUUUGGCCACGCCCCCUCCCUGCAUAGACCACGCCCCUCCCUGGGACCCCCAAACCUCCCUGGGACCCCCCAAACCUCCAUUAGGACCCCCCAAACCUGCCUGGGACCCCCAAAUCUCCCUGGGAUCCCCAAAACUCCUUGGGACCCCCCAAAAUCCCCCAGGGACCCCCCAGGACCCCCAGGGACCCUUCAGAACCUCCCCAGGACCCACCCAGGACUCCCCCAAAACCUCCCCAGGACCCCCUCCGGACCCUUCCAGGGGCCUCCAGUGACCCCACCAGGACCCCACAAACCC